rnacentral:misc_RNA from 1 species
UUUAGUUAUAUUUUCAAUAAACGGUUAUCGUUCACAGUGUAAUCGUACAUUUUACAAUAGUUAAUAUUGUUGCUACGAACAAGGAGGCAAUUAACAACUGACAGACGGAUAUUUAUAUAUAAUUUUGGUUUAAUUAAAUCGACAAUGGAGCAAAGUUACAAGCAUAAGAAAAUAGGGAUUCUGACUGUGGCUGCAUUGCUGGUAAUGACACUAGCGUUCACGGUUCAACACACAAACGUCUUUCAAACACAAGUAUUUCAUGCAUCUACAGAAACUACGGAAUUAAUGAUCAGUAACACUUCAUACGGCUAUGGCAUCAGUGAUCCACGAGACCCAAGGUUUUACAACAUCAUGCUUGAAGAGGACGCGCUCAUGUUUAAACCUUGCAAAGAUGUUACUAAAGCAGCUUCGAUAAACCACUCAAAAAUAUCACUGGCAGAUCGUGUGAGUGGGACUUACAAUAUUGGUGAAGAUAUUCGAGCUAUUGUAACACUGUACGAUGGUUAUGGCAAACGUAAACAUUCCGGGGGAGAUCAGCUAAGAGCAACAAUAGAAAACAAAGUGCUUAAAGCAUCUGCCCCUUGUGUUGCGACUGAUAAUAAUGAUGGAACGCAAGCGGUGACAUGUGCGGCAUUAUGGAGCGGGACUUCAACAAUUCAAGUAACUUUAGCGUAUACAAGAGAGGCAAUUACAGCCAUAUAUAGGAUAAGAACGCAAGUUUUGUCCACCAGAUACAUAGGUUUAAAGUUCAGGAGUGGAUCUUACGAAGAAACUACUAUCUGUCAUCCAAACGCUACGCACCUGCUGAAGUUAACUAAUUACACAGAUGUUUGUGAUAUGACUGAAGUUAACUUUGGAAUGUCGUUUUAUUGCGGAAAACCACAGAAUAAGCACUUGCAGUGUCAGGACAUGCAGCUGGUAGAAGUUGUUAACAUACCAGCUCCGGAACUUCAGUUCACAGGAUGCGAGAACAUUCUAUUGGAAAGAGGACAGCAAACAUUGAAACAGAAUUUAGCGGUUAACGUACGUAACAAGAAUGGAGAUAGUCCUCAUUCAAUUAUAGAGAAACCAUCCAUACCUUGUGCAAAGUACAACAUUACUCUUCUCUGGUUGUCUAGGGAACCAACAGGCUUCUUUUAUGAUGGAAAAUGGAAUCUACGAAAUUGUCUCGCCACAUUUUAACAAAGGCAUAAUUAGCCUUUAAUUAUUGAUUUAGACAGUGCCUUACAACGGACAACUUGUUAUUGUUACAGCAAAUAAAAAGGAAAACAUAUAGGUUUCCAACAAAAUUAUUAUCAGACGUGUCUUAAAAAUAGGAGAUUAUAUGUGUUUGGCGAUUCUACAUCCAGGGCCUGGUAUAAAACUAUCCUUAAGCGUUUCCAAUGUCGACAAACUACAGAAAAAUGGCAA